rnacentral:rRNA from 1 species
UACAGAGGGUGCGAGCGUUGUCCGGAAUCACUGGGCGUAAAGGGCGCGUAGGUGGCGACCCAAGUCCAUGGUGAAAGCUCGAUGCUCAACAUCGAGUCGGCCACGGAUACUGGGUUGCUCGAGCACUGUAGAGGCUAAUGGAAUUCCGGGUGUAGGCGGUGGAAUGCGUAGAGAUCCGGAAGAACACCGGUGGCGAAGGCGGGAUCUCUGG